rnacentral:rRNA from 1 species
UACGGAGGGUGCAAGCGUUAAUCGGAAUUACUGGGCGUAAAGCGCACGUAGGCGGCUUGUUAAGUCAGAUGUGAAAUCCCCGGGCUCAACCUGGGAGCUGCAUCUGAUACUGGCAGGCUUUGAGUACGGUAGAGGGGGGUGGAAUUCCAGGUGUAGCGGUGAAAUGCGUAGAGAUCUGGAGGAACACCAGUGGCGAAGGCGGCCCCCUGGACUGAUACUGACGCUGAGGUGCGAAAGCGUGGGGAGCAAACAGG